AUUUCAUCCCUUCCCCAUUUUCUUGGGUUUAAGUUUUCUCAUUACACGCAUACGAAAACUCUUGUUCCCCCCUCUCUCUAUCUUCUCUGCGG
rnacentral:ribozyme from 1 species